AGGACGAACGCUGGCGGCGUGCUUAACACAUGCAAGUCGAGCGGUAAGGCCUUUCGGGGUACACGAGCGGCGAACGGGUGAGUAACACGUGGGUGAUCUGCCCUGCACUCUGGGAUAAGCCUGGGAAACUGGGUCUAAUACCGGAUAUGACCUGCUCUCGCAGUGGGGGGUGGGUGGAAAGAUUUAUCGGUGCAGGAUGGGGCCCGCGGCCUAUCAGCUUGUUGGUGGGGUAAUGGCCUACCAAGGCGACGACGGGUA
rnacentral:rRNA from 1 species